rnacentral:sRNA from 1 species
GGUAUUCCUUAUCUAUCUAAUACGUUGAUUUAGCUGGAACCUGUCCCAUUGUAUUUUCAUGGGGUUAUCGCUCACAAAAACACAAUAAGACAGGUUCUGCGUUUAGUUGCCGCGCUCUAAAAGUUG